rnacentral:rRNA from 1 species
CCUACGGGAGGCAGCAGUAGGGAAUAUUGGGCAAUGGGCGAAAGCCUGACCCAGCCACGCCGCGUGCAGGAAGACGGCCCUCUGGGUUGUAAACUGCUUUUGACUGGGAAGAAAGAAGCUCAUGCGUGAGAAGUUGACGGUACCAGUCGAAUAAGCCACGGCUAACUACGUGCCAGCAGCCGCGGUAAUACGUAGGUGGCAAGCGUUAUCCGGAUUUAUGGGUUUAAAACGGGAGCGUAGGCGGCUUAAAUAAGUCAGUGGUUAAAACGGUAGCAGCUUAACUGUUUUACAUGCCACUGAUACUGUUGAGCUUGAGUUGACAGAAGGCAGAUAGAAUUUCUGGUGUAGCGGUGAAAUGCUUAGAUACCAGAAGGAAUACCGAUUGCGAAGGCAGUCUGCUGCAGUCACACUGACGCUGAGGCUCGAAGGUGCGGGGAUCAAACAGGAUUAGAUACCCUGGUAGUCCGCACAGUAAACGACGAUACUAGAUGUUGGCCAAGCCAGUGUCCAAGGGAAACCCGAUAAGUAGUCCACCUGGGGAGUACGCGGCAACGGUGAAACUCAAAGGAAUUGACGGCNGAGAGAGCGAGAGACACGAGGAGAGG